ensembl:lncRNA
GCUUGGUGGAGUUCUGUCUGGCUCUUGGCGUAACUAUGGUUUCACCAUGGAAUGACUGAGAACCAGCCUUCACAGUGUAACGGUUACCAUGAAGAAGGGCGAUGCUGCAAACGGUAGUCAAAGUCUGUAAAUGGCCCAACAAUCCUUCACAACCAAUAUGCACCUUUUUGAAGUGGGUCCAUUCCAGACUCCCAAGAUGGAAUUCCGCAGGCUGAAUCCAGUCAUUACAAAGCAAUAUUUCAACCAUCAAAAAUGGAUGGAAGGAUGUCAUUCUCAGGAGUAAAUGGAUCAAUUCAAGCCCAGCUUUAAAAAACACUCACCCUGCUGCACCUCCUUUCACCCAAUAGGGAGGCAGCCAAGGCAGACAGCAUUUCAAUGAGUUCUGCAAAACACAAUGCAAGCUGUAUGAACAGUCUGUUCAACAUGUUUGUAGAAGGUCAAAUAAAAAAC